UACUCAAUGUUACUCAGUCGGGUGAAAGCCGUCGAAGUGGCCGCAUCUAGAAUCAGCUGCGAGGACCGCCACCCAUCAUAAUCUGCUAUAACCUCGGCUUCACGACUGGCCACCACCUAGGUCAAGAGAACGCGAGUUGUCCGAAAGAAGAGCGACACAAAGAGAUUCAUCGCAAGCAAAGAUGGGAACCAUUAGUGACAAGGAUCGUCGAGACACGAUGGUGGGCACAGGCGUUGCGACUGCCGUAUUGCUGCCUGCGGCCGUGGCUGCUGGACCGUUUGCGCCUUUGGUAGCAAUCGGAAUGCUAAUCGGUGCCGCUGGAUCAGCGGCCGGAUUCGCUACUGCUGCGAGUCUGCCAGGGGAUGAGGAGAAGUAGCAGGAACUCAUAAACCCGACUUCUGCGAGUGGCAUGCCAAGCCCGCCUCCGCAAGAAGGAAAUAUGGUUCCUCUCUCUUAUUUGCAUCAAGCACUGUCCCGGUCUUAUUAGUGUUAGUUAACUGUGGCAGCCAGUAAUGCUUAGACGUUGAUCAACAAUGAGUGUUUUCAUGAAAUAAAAAAUGUGU
rnacentral:lncRNA from 1 species